rnacentral:rRNA from 1 species
CCCAGACUCCUACGGGAGGCAGCAGUGGGGAAUAUUGCACAAUGGGGGAAACCCUGAUGCAGCGACGCCGCGUGAGUGAAGAAGUAUUUCGGUAUGUAAAGCUCUAUCAGCAGGGAAGAAAAUGACGGUACCUGAUUAAGAAGCCCCGGCUAACUACGUGCCAGCAGCCGCGGUAAUACGUAGGGGGCAAGCGUUAUCCGGAUUUACUGGGUGUAAAGGGAGCGUAGACGGUGAUGCAAGUCAGAAGUGAAAGCCCGGGGCUCAACUCCGGGACUGCUUUUGAAACUGUGUGACUGGAGUGCAGGAGAGGUAAGCGGAAUUCCUGGUGUAGCGGUGAAAUGCGUAGAUAUCAGGAGGAACACCAGUGGCGAAGGCGGCUUACUGGACUGUAACUGACGUUGAGGCUCGAAAGCGUGGGGAGCAAACAGGAUUAGAUACCCGUGUAGAA